GACGAACGCUGGCGGCGUGCUUAACACAUGCAGGUCGAACGGAAAGGCCCUGCUUUUGUGGGGUGCUCGAGUGGCGAACGGGUGAGUAACACGUGAGUAACCUGCCCUUGACUUUGGGAUAACUUCAGGAAACUGGGGCUAAUACCGGAUAGGAGCUCCUGCUGCAUGGUGGGGGUUGGAAAGUUUCGGCGGUUGGGGAUGGACUCGCGGCUUAUCAGCUUGUUGGUGGGGUAGUGGCUUACCAAGGCUUUGACGGGUAGCCGGCCUGAGAGGGUGACCGGCCACAUUGGGACUGAGAUACGGCCCAGACUCCUACGGGAGGCAGCAGUGGGGAAUAUUGCACAAUGGGCGGAAGCCUGAUGCAGCAACGCCGCGUGCGGGAUGACGGCCUUCGGGUUGUAAGCCGCUUUCGCCUGUGACGAAGCGUGAGUGACGGUAAUGGGUAAAGAAGCACCGGCUAACUACGUG
rnacentral:rRNA from 1 species